rnacentral:lncRNA from 1 species
GGACUGUGGUGUUACGUGUUUAUGCUGGUGUUAUUGGACUGUGGUGUUACGUGUUUAUGCUGGUGUUAUUGGACUGUGGUGUUACGUGUUUAUGCUGGUGUUAUUGGACUGUGGUGUUACAUGUUUAUGCUGGUGUUAUUGGACUGUGGUGUUACAUGUUUAUGCUGGUGUUAUUGGACUGUGGUGUUACGUGUUUAUGCUGGUGUUAUUGGACUGUGGUGUUAUAUGUUUAUGCUGGUGUUAUUGGACUGUGGUGUUGUAUGUUUAUGCUGGUGUUAUUGGACUGUGUUACCACCUGUUUAUGCUGGUGUUAUUGGACUGUGUUACAUGUUUAUGCUUGUGUUAUUGGACUGUGUUGUUGUUGUUAUGUGUUAAGGCUGGUGUUAUUGGACUGUGUUGUUGUUAUGUGUUAAGGCUGGUGUUAUUGGACUGUGUUGUUGUUAUGUGUUAAGGCUGGUGUUAUUGUACUGUGUUGUUAUGUGUUAAGGCUGGUGUUAUUGGACUGUGUUGUUGUUAUGUGUUAAGGCUGGUGUUAUUCGACUGUGUUGUUGUUAUGGUUUUAAGGCUGGUGUUAUUGGACUGUGUUGUUGUUAUGCAAGGAACACUGAACCAUGCAUGAGAGCACCAGCUGUUCCGGACAACUAUGUGAUAUCACUCUCUGUAGGCGAGGUGAUUUAAGACUUUUCAACCUACCCCGACCCGGUCUGUACCAACUUGUUUCAAGCAGACCACCAUAGUCCCUGUACCCAAGAACACCAAAGCCUAAAUGACUAUCACCCCGCAGCACUCACAUCUAUAGCCAUGAAAUGCUUUGAAAGCCUGGUCACCCUGGACCCACUGCAGUUUCCAUACCACCCCAACAGAUCCACAGAUGAGUAAAUUUCUAUUGCACUCCAAAAUGCCCUCACCCACCUGGAAAAAAGUAAUACCUAUGUAAGAAUUCUGUUCAUUGACUGCACCUCAGCAUUCAACAACAUAGUCCCCUGCAAGCACAGCACCAAGCUCAGGACCCUGGGACUGAACACCUCCCUCUGAAACUGGAUCCUGGACUUACUGACGGGCCACCCCUAGGCAGCAAAAACACAUCCGCCACGCUGACCGUCAACACGGGGGCCCUUCCUGUACUCCCUGUUCACUCAUGACUGCAUGUCCAUGCACUACUCCAACACCAUCAUCAACUUUGCUGACAAGGCAUUGGUAGUAGGACUGAUCACAGAGGAUGAUGAGGCAGCCUAUAGGGAGGAGGUCAGAGACCUGCCCGUGUGGUGCCAGGGCAACAACCUCUCCCUCAAUGUCAGCA